UCAGAGAAUGGGAAGGAGAGGAGAGGGGAAGGGAGAGGCGCUACCGGUGGUGACCACAGCCACCGUCUCUACUGACCUUGAGGGGAAAACGAGAGUGAGAGAGAGACACGCACAGAACGCGCAAUGCGAGAAAGAGAAGGAGCUCGUCUUUGUUGCCGCCUUCGUCGCGCCUUGCCGCUGCUGCCGUUGAUGGAAGCUGCCGCUGUCACUGGAAGGAACCAAACAGGGAGAGGAUAUCACUAUUGAUGCUGCCGCAGAGAGGAAAGAAGGGACGCGUGUGAGAAAGUGAUGCAACAGUGGAGGAGCCGUUCCUCUGCCGCCGCCACCGAAAUUCCUGGUUGCCGCCGUUGUUCAUGAAGAAAAUUGAGAAUCAAGGAAAGCAUCUUUAUUCAGUAGUAUAUGGCUCGCUGCCACCAAAAACUCAAACAAGGGAGAGCUGGUAGAUAUGGGUCAAAUUUUCCUGUUGGAGAAGUAACAUGCAUAGAUGCAGGGGAUCUACUCUUGCUUCAUUCAUCUUUAAACUCCCCAUCACCCACUUUAAAGGUAACUUGAAUUCGAUCACCCUAUAUGUAUGUGUUCCUAGACCAAAAAAGUUGAUGAAGAAGAAAAAAUGAACAAGAAGGCUCACUUUAAGUAUGAAUCAGUUUAU